CAUGUAGGCGGAUGCUUAAGUCAGGGGUGAAAUCCCGAGGCUCAACCUCGGAACUGCCUUUGAUACUGGGGAUCUUGAGUCUGGGAGAGGUGAGUGGAAUUGCGAGUGUAGAGGUGAAAUUCGUAGAUAUUCGCAAGAACACCAGUGGCGAAGGCGGCUCACUGGCCCGGUACUGACGCUGAGGUGCGAAAGCGUGGGGAGCAAACA
rnacentral:rRNA from 1 species